UGAUAGUCAUCAAGGUCUCCCUCCAAACGAUGAAUCAAUGAUUCGAAAAGCUCCUCCAAAUAAUGACUAUAUUCCAGUUCAACGGAACAACCUAUGGCGAACAGUCUAUGACUACGACUUCAAUCCGAUCAAGUUUGUUUGCAAAAACCUGCUACAUAACUUAGAAAAUUUUUCUCAAGUCUAUACGUUCGGUUAUCCUCUACUC
rnacentral:lncRNA from 1 species